AUUUCUGCAAGCACUGGUGGCACAGCAAGCAGGGGAGAGUUCCCCAGCUCGUACGCUAUUCAGGUCGGAAUUCACCCACUGUGCUACUGCGUUUGUUGGCUGGAGUCCUAUUGCAAGAGACAGGAAAGGGUGCAUCAUGAGUUUUGGACAUGGCGCCAGAAACAUGUCCUGGGCUGGAGAAGUAAGAAUCAUUCUUACAACUUUGGUGUCAUCAAGAUCAAUAACGCCCUCUGUGACUACCCUUGCAGGCAGGCAGAUGACUCACAGGCAGGCUUGGACAUUUUACCCGCUGGACAUGGUUCACCAGUCUCCCGGCAAGAGCUUAGCACGCCACCUCGUGGUACAAUCCCGGCUUUCUUGUUUGGCAUGCUGUUCAGAAACACUUGUUGCACAUGUUGUGCAUUGCCACCUCACAUUGACCAUCAUGCUGGACGCAUGCCACUGCAUCAUGUUGUAUAGAAUGAUUCUUACUUCACUUAUUGUCUGCAGGCCCGGCGUCAGAGCAUGUCAAUUCCGCAUCCCAAAGCAGGGCUACUGAGUCACGAUACCAAUCCCAGGAAACAGACCUCAUACCAGAUAUGCUCACGUUCGCAUGGCUGCCAGAGGCUGCUCAGGAAUAUCAUUCUCUUGAGAGCUGUGCAGCAUUUGUGCUGUCGCUUGCUGUGG
rnacentral:lncRNA from 1 species